rnacentral:rRNA from 1 species
GACGAACGCUGGCGGCGUGCUUAACACAUGCAAGUCGAACGGAAAGGCCCUGCUUUUGUGUGGUGCUCGAGUGGCGAACGGGUGAGUAACACGUGUGUAUCCUGCCCUUGUCUUUGGGAUAACUUCAGGAAACUGGGGCUCAUACCGGAUAGGAGCUCCUGCUGCAUGGUGGGGGUUGGAAAGUUUCGGCGGUUGGGGAUGGACUCGCGGCUUAUCAGCUUGUUGGUGGGGUAGUGGCUUACCAAGGCUUUGACGGGUAGCCGGCCUGAGAGGGUGACCGGCCACAUGGGGACUGAGAGACGGCCCAGACUCCUACGGGAGGCAGCAGGGGAGAAUAUUGCACAAUGGGCGGAAGCCUGAGGCAGCAACGCCGCGUGCGGGAUGACGGCCUUCGGGUUGUAAACCGCUUUCGCCUGUGACGAAGCGUGAGUGACGGUAAUGGGUAAAGAAGCACCGGCUAACUACGUG